UUUAUACAUCAACAUCAGAGACCAGAAUACAAGCGGAACUCAUCAUCAGAGACCAAAAUAGGAGCCGAACUCUUCUCUUGCUCCAUCUGCUUCGCCUGCUCUUGCUCCAUCUCCUUCUCUUUUUCCUUCUCCUUCUCCUUCUUCAAUAUCAAACAUUCAAAAGCAAUCUUAAAUUCUACCUAAAUGAUACGGAUGGUUUUUUGUCACUAUGAAACUCUCAUUGUCUAAACCAAGACAAUAAACGAGCAAUCCAAACACAAACUCACAUAAUCUCAUUAUCAAUCUACAUAAUUAUAAGAGAUAAAGUUUGGGUUUUCAACAAAUUUCAAAUCCAAAACACAUUUAAACACAUUUUGAAUCGGAAUCCUUUUGAAUCUAUAUAAAGUAAUUCAAAUCCGAAAAUAGAGAGAAAUUCAAAUCGAAAAUUGGGACAAAUUCAAUCCGAAAAUUACAACAAAUUCAAAUCCGAAAAAUCAUCCGUUUCACAAACAAAACCCAACAAAAUCCAUCGAAAUCAAACAAAAGAAAGAAUGAGAAUGAAGAAUUUAUAGCUUACAAGAAAGGAGACGGAGGAACGUGGAUUUGGAUUGGAUUUCUAACAAAGAAUUUCCAACGAGAAGAAGAAUGAGAGUUUCGAUUCGGAGAGAAGAGGGAAGAAAAGAAGGUUUGCCGGCGACGAGAGAAGAACGACGGAGAGAUAAACGGCGAUUCAUCGUUUUUUUUUAGAGAAAAGGGGAAAA
rnacentral:lncRNA from 1 species